AUUGAACGCUGGCGGCAGGCCUAACACAUGCAAGUCGAACGAGUGGCGGACGGGUGAGUAAAGUCUGGGAAAAUGCGCGAUGGCGGGGGAGAACUAUUGGAAACGGAAGCUAAUACCGCAUACAAUCGGAUGUGCACAGAUGGGAUUAGCUUGUAUGUGGGGUAACGGGUCACCUAGGCGACGAUCCCUAGCUGGUCUGAGAGGAUGACCAGCCACACUGGAACUGAGACACGGUCCAGACGCCUACGGGAGGCAGCAGUUGGGAAUAUUGCACAAUGGGCGCAAGCCUGAUGCAGCCAUGCCGCGUGUAUGAAGAAGGCCUUCGGGUUGUAAAGUACUUUCAGCGGGGAGGCGUUACCCGCAGAAGAAGCACCGGCUAACUCCGUGCCAGCAGCCGCGGUAAUAC
rnacentral:rRNA from 1 species